UCUAUGCGACGCGACGUUCGACGGACGCGACGCUCGCGACGCGACGCGUCCAAAUAGAACCAAGUUCUAUUUGGGCGUCGAACUGGAAGCUGUACACGUCGCGUCGGAAGUAGCACCUUGAUUUCGGCCAAUCACAGCCAACUAUAAAUGCACGUGUGGCUUCCUUUGGCAAUGAUUAUUGAUUUGGGCGCUGUACUGGACGUUGAGCGGUCUAUAGAUUGCGUAGGGAGCUGUCCUUGCCUGUGGAUGAUCAACUGCAAGACGUACAAAGACCUGCGUGCAUGGGAGAACGCCUAGAAAUUGAUUUUGAGCAAGGUGGGGGUUGCGGCAGAGUUCUGCUAGUAGAAAAUCGAAGCGCGAGUGGUCAGUUCAAUAAUUCAGGCAGCGACGUCUAUGGCGCGCUGAAAUCGUAUUGUGAAUGGUACGACGCGUGUGACGCGAUACGUGCCACUCCCACGCAAGACAACGUGACAGGACGCACGCGACGCGACGCUCAAGCGUUUGCAUAUUGUAAAUCCAGCUUAAGGCAGUAUUUCCAUCGGGUGGAAUUCGGUCCGUAUCCGGAGUAUGCGGUAGUUGUUCGCCUCGAAUUCUGGCCAAAGAACAGGCAGUAGUGAUUCUCUUCGAAUUCGGGCAGAAGUCUUUGAAUCGGAGAGUACUCCAGAUGCAACGCGCAACCAUCAGAUAUGCAAAGUAUAUCCAUUCAUCUAUCUACUAGAUCCACUCCUCUGAAUCGAUGCGAUAUACUCAUACAAGAUAUAGUUAUUAAUUAUUAUCUGAUUUGAGAUCUUUGCCGUCGCUAGGCAGGUUCGCAACACUCUCACAUCGACUACUAACACCUGCUCUCUGUAUUGAACGGAAUGCGAUAAUUGAUGAAGUCAUAGACACGUGCAAUCAGUGGGCCAAUGAGCAAUGAUUAUACGUCCAUGUGCUCAGUUGUCGCUUACUUAUUACCACAAGUCGUGUAGAAUGGAGGAGGAGACGAAGACAAAACCCACACGACCCACACGAAUUAAACAAGCCGCGAAUCGACAAGAUGACUACGGAGUGGUUCGGAUUGCUUGACAACUGUCCAUAUAAAGUUUGAUGCGAACAACGUCAAAGGGUGGUCACUGAGCCGUGGCCGGAGGCUGACAGAUCGGCAUGGAAACGUUGUCGCAUUCGACGAAGUUCGUCCACGAUGCAGGCUUUCUGCUACGAAGUAACUGGUGUAGUUUGUGUAUGAGACUAUUGUUGCAGUGUAGUAGAGGCUA